CAGAGUUGGAGGUUCUGAUGAUUUCCUUCCAUUUAAUUCAAGUCUACGUCAACCACGGAUGUGAGAGAAAGUAUUAAAUAUAAAAAUAUAAAAAAUAAAAAAUAUAAUUAUUUUUUUAUUUAAUUCAAGCUCGUAGACUUAUUAAAAAAUCUCAAGCCCAAAGGUGCUUCAUUGUUUAAAUAGUUUAAAUUUUUGAAGAAAAACUGUUUCUUCGUGUUAUU
rnacentral:lncRNA from 1 species